AUUGAACGCUGGCGGCCGGCCUCACACAUGCAAGUCGAGCGAGCGGCGGACGGGUGAGUAAUGUCUGGGAAACUGCCUGAUGGAGGGGGAUAAAUACUGGAAACGGUAGCUAAUACCGCAUACCAUCAGAUGUGCCCAGAUGGGAUUAGCUAGUAGGUUGGGUAAUGGCUCACCUAGGCGACGAUCCCUAGCUGGUCUGAGAGGAUGACCAGCCACACUGGAACUGAUACACGGUCCAGACUCCUACGGGAGGCAGCAGUGGGGAAUAUUGCACAAUGGGCGCAAGCCGGAUGCAGCCAUGCCGCGUGUGUGAAGAAGGCCUUCGGGUUGUAAAGCACUUUCAGCGGGGAGGCGUUACCCGCAGAAGAAGCACCGGCUAACUCCGUGCCAGCAGCCGCGGUAAUUC
rnacentral:rRNA from 1 species